rnacentral:rRNA from 1 species
GAUGAACGCUGGCGGCGUGCCUAAUACAUGCAAGUCGAGCGAAUGGAUUAAGAGCUUGCUCUUAUGAAGUUAGCGGCGGACGGGUGAGUAACACGUGGGUAACCUGCCCAUAAGACUGGGAUAACUCCGGGAAACCGGGGCUAAUACCGGAUAACAUUUUGAACCGCAUGGUUCGAAAUGGAAAGGCGGCUUCGGCUGUCACUUAUGGAUGGACCCGCGUCGCAUUAGCUGGUUGGCGGGGUAACGGCCCACCAAGGCAACGAUGCGUAGCAGACAUGAGAGGGUGAUCGGCCACACUGGGACUGAGACACGGCCCAGACUCCUACGGGAGGCAGCAGUAGGGAAUCUUCCGCAAUGGACGCAAGUCUGACGGAGCAACGCCGCGUGAGUGAAGAAGGGUUUCGGCUCGUAAAACUCUGUUGUUAAGGAAGAACGCCAGGUAGAGUAACUACUACCUGUGUGACGGUACUUAACCAGAAAGCCACGGCUAACUACGUGCCAGCCGCCGCCGUAA